rnacentral:rRNA from 1 species
UACGUAGGGACCAAGCGUUGUUCGGAUUUACUGGGCGUAAAGGGCGCGUAGGCGGCAAUUCAAGUCAUCUGUGAAAUCUCCGGGCUUAACUCGGAAUGGUCAGGUGAUACUGCUUUGCUAGAGUGCAGAAGGGGCAAUCGGAAUUCUUGGUGUAGCGGUGAAAUGCGCAGAUAUCAGGAAGAACACCAAUGGCGAAGGCAGCUCUCUGGGACGGUACUGACGCUGAGACGCGAAAGCGUGGGGAGCGAACAGG